rnacentral:rRNA from 1 species
GUGGGGAAUCUUCCACAAUGGACGAAAGUCUGAUGGAGCAACGCCGCGUGAAUGAAGAAGGCCUUCGGGUCGUAAAAUUCUGUUGUUAGAGAAGAAUGUGCGUGAGAGUAACUGUUCAUGUAUUGACGGUAUCUAACCAGAAAGCCACGGCUAACUACGUGCCAGCAGCCGCGGUAAUACGUAGGUGGCAAGCGUUGUCCGGAUUUAUUGGGCGUAAAGGGAACGCAGGCGGUCUUUUAAGUCUGAUGUGAAAGCCUUCGGCUUAACCGGAGUAGUGCAUUGGAAACUGGAAGACUUGAGUGCAGAAGAGGAGAGUGGAACUCCAUGUGUAGCGGUGGAAUGCGUAGAUAUAUGGAAGAACACCAGUGGCGAAAGCGGCUCUCUGGUCUGUAACUGACGCUGAGGUUCGAAAGCGUGGGUAGCAAACAGG